rnacentral:rRNA from 1 species
AUUGAACGCUGGCGGCAUGCCUUACACAUGCAAGUCGAACGGCAGCGCGGACUUCGGUCUGGCGGCGAGUGGCGAACGGGUGAGUAAUACAUCGGAACGUACCCUGUUGUGGGGGAUAACUAGUCGAAAGAUUAGCUAAUACCGCAUACGACCUGAGGGCGAAAGUGGGGGACCGCAAGGCCUCACGCAGCAGGAGCGGCCGAUGUCUGAUUAGCUAGUUGGUGGGGUAAAGGCCCACCAAGGCGACGAUCAGUAGCUGGUCUGAGAGGACGAUCAGCCACACUGGGACUGAGACACGGCCCAGACUCCUACGGGAGGCAGCAGUGGGGAAUUUUGGACAAUGGGGGCAACCCUGAUCCAGCAAUGCCGCGUGUGUGAAGAAGGCCUUCGGGUUGUAAACUGCUUUUGUACGGAACGAAACGGUGAGCUCUAAUACGGUUUGCUAAUGACGGUACCGUAAGAAUAAGCACCGGCUAACUACGUGCCAGCCGCCGCCGUAA